rnacentral:rRNA from 1 species
UGCGUAGGCGGCCUAUUAAGUUUGUCGUGAAAUCUCCCGGCUCAACUGGGAGGGUGCGGCGAAUACUGAUGGGCUUGGGGUGUGGGAGAGGAGAGUGGAAUUCCUGGUGUAGCGGUGAAAUGCGUAGAUAUCAGGAGGAACACCGGCGGUGUAGACGGCUCUCUGGACCAUAACUGACGCUGAGGCACGAAAGCGUGGUAGCAAACA